UGCCAAAGAGAGUGCCACUUGGCUGGCCAUUAUCAACCAGGAAGAGGCGUUGUCCCGAAAACUGUAUCCUGACAGCUGCCCACCUGUGCCUUUGGCUGGUGGGAGUGGAUCUUUUGUCAUCAGUGACACCAGUGAUUAUGAUGUUGAGGGUGUGGAAGAUGAGGCCAACAUUGAAGUGGAGGAGUGCAAGCCCCGUGAUGUCAAUCUCUUCAAUUUAGGCGUAGGAGCCAGAGAUAGGCUUAUGGUGCCACCACUGGCUCCUUCGAUCAAGGGAGAGCUUGUAGAGACCAACUCAGAUUUCAUCCAGAAGAGGAAGCAGCCACCUGAUGAGCCGCAUAUAAUGAUGGAUCAGAAAAUGUAUACCUGUGAAUACACUCAAUGCCCCUACAACAAUUACCGUCUUGCGUUUCUCGACAGGGCAUCCAGAAACAAUCAUCAGAUGAAUUGUCUAUACAGGAGUAAUUCUUCACAAGGGUUUGGAAUGUCGAAUUUCCAAAUUAACAAUGAGAAACCAGCAGCCUUCUCUCUACCCUUUGCUCAACCCAAGGCAGCAGCUCCACCAGUGAACCAGUCUCCUGCUUUCAAUGUUUCAGGACUUGGACUUCCAGAAGAUGGGCAAAAAAUGAUUUCUGACCUAAUGUCAUUCUAUGACACAAAUCUCCAGCGAAACAAGAGCUUGAAUCCUGGGAACCUUAAUGUUAUGGAAGAUCAAAAUCAGCCGCAGCAGCAGCAGCAGCAGCAGAAGUUUCAACUUCAGCUAGAUGAUAACUUCUUCAAUCAGGGGGUUAUGAUGGGUGGCAACAUCACUGAAGAAACAAACAUGCCCUUAAAUCAUUCUGUUUUCUCGUCAAGUGAGAUCCAGUUUGAUCAGUGUAAAGCAUUUGAUUCUCCAUUUGACACCAACCCAAAUGACAACAUUGCUGACUUUAGAUUUGGGUCUCCAUUCAACUUGGCAGCAGUAGAUUAUACGGUGGACCCACUGCCAAAGCAGGAUGUAUCCAUGUGGUACCUUUGAAAACACAAACAGGCAUCCCAUCUUAGAGCUAUCUGCGGAAGUUGGGGAGAGGGGGCCUCUGGUGGAAGGAAUGGGAUAAAGCUGUAUAUUCUGGGAGGAAGAUCAUCUUUGCCUUUAGUGUCUGCUGGGCACGGGGUGAAGUGUUGUUCCUUCUGAAUUUUAGUUAAUAUUUUUGUUGUAGUAGGCGUUGUUAAGGGACUUUAUGAACUUGGGUUUCUCUUCUGCCACUCUUCUUUUAAUCUUCCAAGUCUAGGUUGUGUAGGUUGCUUUCAUUGCAGUACUGAAGAAGGGUCAAUAAAUAACUGGGAAGGACCCCAACCCCAUUACUCACUACUGCUGUUGAAAUGUUAGGCGUUUUGGUGUUGCAAAAAUUGGUAUGGGCAUGUAGUUAUAUUAUAUAUACACAUACAUUUAUAAUCUAUAUAUGUGGUUGUUUCUAAUCCACCUCCACUUUAUAAUUGUCUCUUCCAUUUAUUUAUCCUGAAAUUAUCAUAUGAAUCAUGAGUAGUGGGAGAUGAAAUAGAAAAGGACAAUGCCCAUCCAUGGUCUCAUGCUCCAUGCGCCUAACCACUUGUCCAUUUACACUAUUAUGAGCAUUUGAUGGUGAAAGAGAUACUUUUUCCAAGUGGUAGACCAGGUCAUGGAAAAGUUGAUAUGGGAGAUGGGUGGCUUAUCUUCAAUCAAAAAGCUGGCACAUACUGUUCCCACGAGAAGCAUGUGCCCCAUCUACUUCGAAUCAUCUUCACCCUCUUUUUCCAUGAUGACUUGUUUGUUUUGAAAGAAAUGAAAAUUAGUUUACAGUCAAUUUUAUACAAUCUAACUGUUGGGACUUUGAAAAAGGACGCUGAGUGUCAAAUAAUUUGCGACCAGAGAUGAGACCCUUUUGGGCUAUUUCUGAAAAUUGAAAGUGAUCCCCUUGUUUGGCAUGGAGGAAAUUUUCAAAGAUGAUACCCAGGGAGGAGAAAAAUGGAAGGAAAGAGCCUAGGCUUAGUAGAGUCUGGCAAGCUCUCAGAAUAGCUGUGACUGUGGCCUGGCCUCUUCUCUUGGCUUUCUUUAAUAAUUGGCUUGGUGGAACACUUCUUUCAUCUCUCUCUCUAGAUCUGAAAAAUUAAAGUGGGUGAAAUCUUCAUCCAUCUCUCCAACUUCUAUGUGAUUUACUUGCUUUACAAAUGUCCCAAUACAGUGAGCCAGCCAGCUCCCACAAGAAUGCGGCAAACAUGACACCAUAUAUUGUCCUGCCUGUCUGUCUCCUCCCCCACCCACAUAUGUCGGCAGCAUCAGAUGAAGCUCCCUCCCUGUAAUCAAAUUUAAUUAUAAAAUGACCUGACCAUAUAAUCAUGAUUAUUGUGCAUUCAGUGAGGCAUGAACCAUGGCCAUUUUGUCUUUCAAAAAAAAAAGGGGGAAAAUUCAAUUUUGAGGACCAUAAGAUAGUUUCAACUCCUAUGAGAUUGAAACUAGGCUGCCUGGAGUUAGUCCAAGGCCAACUGGCCCAAAAUUUUGACCACAGCGCUGGUCAGGUCAGGUCUCCUUCACGCGUUGAAACCUCUUUUUGAUUUCUUUUUUUUGAAGUAAAGGCAAUACAUAUAAAGUGGAAAGAUGAAAAUUAGGAGUUGAUAACCUUUUAGUUCACGUCCAAAAGUAAAUUUGGAUUGUAUAUGUGUACUUAAUUUCAGGUUUCAAGGGCAAACGUGUGGGGAUUUUGAGGUUAGAAGGACAUUCCCCUUGUAAGAAUCUCUUUUAGUCCAAAAGUAUGAAAAACAUGGACAUGUACACUGACUUUCAACCUAGUCUUUGAUGACGAAAAUCUGUAUACUUUUUACACGGCUAUAUAUAUUCCCGAAAAUAUUAGGGAAAGAAAAAUAAUUUUUUUGGUUUUCUUAUAAAAAAAUACAAAAGAAAGUUAAAUAUAAUUAAAAUUAUUAAAAGAUUUAUAUAUUUUUAAAUUAUUUAAUUUUUAUACAAAAGAGUUAAAUAAGUAAAUAAAUAAUUUUAAAAUAAUUUAUUUAUUUCAAAUCUAUUUUUAUUUUAUUUUAAUUUUUCUUUCCUUUUACUUUUCCUAUUUAUUUUCUUUUUCUUGUAUUUUCCCUCAAACUUUCCAUAUUUUUACUAAUUUCUACUCACUUUAAGGUAUGAUUGGUUUACUUUUUGAAAAGACAUACAAAGAAUUUGAAAUUUUUAGUUUUAAGAUAUGUUUGGUAGGCUAAGUUAGGCGGGGAUUUUGAAAGAAAUAUAAUUAUUUUAAAAAAUAUUUUCAAAAGACAACGUCCUAUUAGAAUUCCUUCAACUUUAUCGUAUUUUUUUAAUAAAAAAUUAUUAUAUUGUUAUCAAAAUUCCAAAUUAAAUAUUUAAAGGUUAUACUUGGUUACAGAAAGUAAAAAAAAUAUUAAGAAAAAUGGUUUUCUUCUAUUUGGUUUCAUAACAAAAAAAAAAAAAAAUCAAAUAUAAUUAAAAUUAAUAAAAAAUUUAUGUAUUUUAAAAUCAUUUAAUCUUUAUAUAAUUAAAAAAAAAUAAGUAAAAUGAAUUUUAAAAAAUAUAUAAAAAUAAUUUAUUGACUUAAAAUUUUUAUUUAUUUAUUUAUUUAUUUUUUAUUUUCCUCCUUAUGUUGUUCUUUCACUUACAUUUUUCCUCAAAUUUUUUGAAACCAAAUAUAGUCUAAAUAUCGUGAUAUGUCUCUAACAUUCAUAUAUCUGGAAUGAUACCAUUAAGGUAAAACCAAAAAUAAAAUGGAACAAUCCCAAUCAACUAUCAAACCCUAAUGAAUGGAACCAAGACUUACAAAAUAAUUAACCAAUAAAUUGUUUUACCAACAUUAUUUCAGAAAAUAAUAAUCAAGGAAGGGAUCAAUAGUCAUAAAUCCAAAUCAUUCAUAAUUGAAAUUGAAAUUGAAAUUAAUCAUCGAAUAUUUGAUAAAACGUAUGUGUCUACAUAGUAACGAUUACCCCUCCAAUAAAAUCUAAUCAUUAACACCAUGAGUAUUCAUUAAGAUCAAGCCAUCAAACGUUUAAUUAAAAGAAUUAAGACAAAUGCUUGUUGGGUAACUUUCUAAAAUAAUUGAGGUCAUGAAAUUACUCAUCUAACUAAUGACCCACAAAUUUGGAAUAAUUAAGACUAAAUUUAUUGAAGCCACCCCCCUUGUGUUAAUUUGAUUGCAACUAAAUAAUUUAUAAGGUUAAGACACUUAAAACGGUUGAAAUAAUAGUAAAUUUAAUUUUAUUUAUUUAUUAUAAAUUAGCUAAAAGAGUCAACCCAUAGACACUGGGUGAAUGGAUCAAAGUUAAGAGAAAAAAAUAAUCGAUGAAUCUCCUAGGAUAUUUGGCGCAUUGUUUCUAGGGGUGUAAUUUGAAUGAAUUGAUCCAAUCUAACUCGAAUCCAAAUUUUUAAUACUUGAGUUGGGUUUAGAGAGUUCAUGGCAAGAUUUUAACAAUUUCAGUCUAAUUCAAAAUUGAUUUAAUAUUUUUAUAAUACUUUGACUUAUAUUAUUGUAUAUAAUAGUGUUUAUUUAUUUUAUAAUUUUUAAGAAAAAACAUCAAAUUAUAAUUAUCUCAUAUAUUUUUCAUUUUUCUACAAUGAUAUAUAAAUUUAAUUUUACUUUUUUUUUUUUGUAUUACCUUGAAAUUUUGUUACAAUUACUAUUUAAAUUUUUGUACAAAUGUAUAAAAAAAGUUUGAAAAAAACCAUUAUGGAUAAAUUUUAAAUCAUACAAUCCAAUAAUUGAGGCCCAUCCUCCUCCCCCUAUAAUUGAGGCUCAAACAGUAACCAUGGUGAAUGUAUAUUUGAUCUUUCUUCCAUAAUUUCUCAUUGUCUAACCAUCAACUUCUAUUCUCCUGUCACCUCAACAUAGUCCUUCUCCUAACACUUGUUGCAAUAUGGGAGAUUAUCAACGAGGGAGUAUGUAUCCAAGUUCCUUGGAAUGGCCAUAACUAAAGCUAGAUUUGGAAAUAUGGGAAGUGAAAAAGACGAUAUGAAGUGGAGAAGGGGCAACCUGAACCUGGGAUAAAGGUUCCCAGCGGAAGAUUCAAGGAGUGGUGAAAAAUCCCUAGUUGAAAGAAAUGAAGCCAACUAAAGAAACAAAAAUAAAUUGUACAGGGGUUCAAUCCGUUGCUUAAAAGAUGACGAAAUAGCAUAGGGUUCUCCUUUAGCCUAGGGAUGACAAUGAAGCGGGUUUUUUUUCGGGUAACGACCUUGCCCUGCCUCUAAUGGAACGAGGUUUAAUUUUAAUAAACAGGUUUGAGACGAGUAUAAGAUUUUUUUUUUUUAAAACCCAGGGUAGGUUCAGAUAUUGCCUCAUCCUGUCUCGUCCCGAUUAUUUAUAAAAUUAAGUUAAUUUAAAAUUUUAUUUUACUAUUUUUAAUAUAUAGAUAAUAAUAAAAAAUUUUAAUAAAAUAAGUUAUAAAAAUAUAAUAAUUUUAUUAUUUAUAAAAUAUAUUUAUUUUAAUAUAAUUAAAAAUUUUAAAAGUAAUUUUUUUUUAAAAAAUUUUAAAAAAAAGGUUAAAUGAGACAGAAAUGAAAAUUAUUUUUAAUAAACUGGUCGGGUUCGUACUUCAGCCCUAUGACGAUGUAGAUGUUAGGAAGAGGUGCCAAUAUAAGAAGGCAAAAAGAGAAAAGAAAGAAGUCCCAUUAUUUCUGAAAGCCAUUUGAAAUUCAGAAAGACCUUAUCGUCCAUUGUGAACUGUUGGCACUCAAUGAACAUCCGAAUAGGACAUCAACCCCUCCAGACAUGACAGGAGAAAGGAAUAUGUGCUGCACCUGUCACUUUCCAGCCUGAGUAGAAGGGGAAUGUAAUGUCAGAGUGUACAAAGCGAAGAUCCUAGAUUGACCAUUACAUGUUGUCAAGAAAUUAUGCUACGUUUUCAGGAUAUGUUUGUUCCCUCUACUGCCAUUUCCUAUCUGUACAAGACGUGCAAGUUGGACGUGGCUCAUGAUCCCACGUUCAAUCUCCAUGACUCAUAAACGACAACGAGUGCAUCAACAACAUACGGAGGUCAUGACUCAUCUCAUCAUCCUCUUUCAGGGAGUUUUACUUUAAUUAUAUUCUUUUUGUAAAUCUUCUUCAAUCAUUUUCAUCUUGUAUGAUAAAGUCACUAUUUCUAGAAAAAAUCAGCUUUGAAGUUUCAUGAAUAUGGCUAACUAAUUAACCUCUUAAUUAUCUCUUUGUUUCAACUUUUAGCGGCACAUCAUAUGAGCAGUUAUUCCUUGGGAUAGAAAAGAAGCGAAUAUAUAUGGAUUGGGAUGCCAACAUAGGACCCUUUGUUUCAUACCAAGAAAGUAAUUCUUGAAUAUGAUGGAAUACUCAGGCGAUAUGUCUACCUAGAAUCUGCAACCACAGGUGCUAUGGUGUAAUACCCGGGUUUUUAAGGAGAUUUUAGGAGCAUAAAGUAUUUCGUAAAAUUGUGGGUCAAAUUGUCAAAAAGAGUAGUAAAGAUUCACAUGUUAGUAUCUAAUUGGGAGAGAUUUUGGAAAAGUUGGUCAAAAGUCAAUAGUUUGAAAAAUUUGUCAUGUCAGAUGUAAGGAGUGGGAAUUUUAGAAAUUAAAUUUAGAUUUGGAGAAAAAUUUAGCUAUCAAAUAAUUGAGAUUAGGUUUUGAAAAUUUGAAUAUUAAGUACGGGAAUUAAUUUAAUUAUUAUCGGGUAAUAAUAAAAAGAAUCGUAGUAAGAAAAACUUUGUAAAAAUUUAUAUUAUAUCAAAUUGUUAUAAUCGAUAAUUAAAAAAAAUGAAUUUAAUUUUAUAAUGAAUCAAUUUAAUUUUUAUAAUUGGAAUUAAACUUUAUAAAAUUACAAAAUAUUGAACGGAGUUGAAUUGAAAUUAAAUUAAGAGUAAAUUAUGAUAUGUGAAUUUAGAAAAAAUUAUAUAUAUACAAAAGGGGUAAAUUAAUUAAAUGUGAAUUUUAUGAAUUUAACUUUUGAAAUUUUGAUGUGAUUGAAUAAUUUGACAAAUAAAGUAAAUUAAAUAAAAGUUAUACCAAUGAGUUGAGAAAUUAAUUUUUAUAAAUUGAAUUACUAAUUAAUUUAUGGAAUUAAAUUUUUAGAAAAUUACUUAAAUUUUGUUGGUAAAUAAAUAUUAGUAAAAUUAAUGAGUUAAAGGUUAUUAUAAAUUUCAACUUCUUGGUUGCUGAAAAAUUAUUUUAUAUCUUUAAUAUUUUUAUGAAAUUGAAUUUUAUUAAUAGUUAAUUAUAUUAUGUUUUAAGUGAAUUUUAGAGUAAAAAUGUUUCAGGUAAUUAUUGUCAAAUUAUAAUGUUUGAAGAGCAGACCUAUAGUAAAUUAAAUUACAAAUACGGUAAUAUGUUUCAUGAGGUGGAAAAUCAUAAGUUGGGUAUAAUUCAUAAUUACAAAAGGUGAAUUAGGGGAUAAUGAUUUUAAUUUAAUUAAGAUACAGGACGUGUGUGAUAUUUUCAAAAUUGUUUAAUAUAUAUAUAUAUAAAGUGAGAUUGACUUGGGAGUUUAAAAGGUGAAAAAAGAAACAUGUCUUAAUUUUGGAUUGGCGAAAUUCGAAUUAUUUUAUUGGUCAAUUAGGCGAGUUGAAAAUUUUGUGCCACGUCAGUUUUAUGGUAGAAAAUUUCUUAGAAUUUUAGAAAUUGAAAAUUUACAAAAACAAAAAACGAAAACGAAAACAAAAACGAAAAGUGAAUUAAUUAAAAUUAAUUAGAAUUAAUUAAGUAAAAAUUAAAUUAAAUUGCUUACUAAUAAAAUCGAGAAAAUUAAAUUUUUGGGUUGAUAUUUAAUAAAUUAAUAAAUUAAUUUGUGUGUUGCAAAAAAAAAAAAAAAGAAUUGGAAAUGAAACAAAGCAAAUGGAAUAAAAAGAAAAACAAAAUUAAUUCAAUGGGUUUUUGGAUAUUGGGUUGUAGACUUGUGGUGGCUGGUAGAUUAAAAGAAACAAAAUGAAAUGGGUUUUUAAAAAGAAAAAGAGAAAAGGGGAGAAGUGGCAGAAGAGAGGGUUCGUGGCGACUGUGAGAGAAGUGUUUCGCCGGAACUUUGGGUGGCCGUUUGGACGGCCAAUCGUCGUCCAUUUCGCCUGAGAAGGUGUUCUACUCGACGAGAGAAACAAUUCUACGGUGACCGAUCUUGAUUCUAACGGUUGGAUUCAUAGAUUUGUGGUAGGGAAACCUAACCCUAAAACUUCAAUUAAAUGUGUUUUCCUUGAAAAAAAUUUGUAGAUCUUUUCAUUAUGAGUUAAGUAAGUAAUGUUGGUGCUGUAGGAAUUUUUUUGGAUGAUUGGGAUUUUUUUUUGAAUUUUUGUGAUUUCGAGAAUUUCUUUUUGGUUGAUAAAUGAUUGUUUUGGGUUGUCAAAAUUAUUGGAAUCGUUGGAAAAUUCCAAAAUUGUGGUAUAAUUUCAAAUUUAUUGAUAUGUGAAUUUUUGAGAAUUUGUUGGAAUAUUUUGAUAAUUGAAAAUUAUUAGAAUUGUUGGAAAAUUAUGAAAUUGUGGUAUAAAUGAUAAUUUAUUCAUAUGUGAAUUUUUGACAAAUUGUUGGAUUAUUUUUGGUGAUUUUAUUGUGGGAAAAUAAUUAUAUUGGAUUGUUGGGAAAUUUUGGAAUUGUGACAUGAUUGUAAUUCCGAUGAUAUUGGUGAUACAUAUAAAUGAGAGUAAUUAACCUCAUGGCAUGCAUUUGCAUCAUGGUUGUGUGACGAAAGGAUAAAAAUUGUGAAAAGUGAAUGAAAUGGCAAAAGAAAGAGAAAAAUGAAUAGUGAUGAAAAGUAAAGGCUCAUGUGAGGCGAAUAAGAAGGGAAAGAGAUCCCUAGGGUGAAAGACCCAAAAGUUUACCCCGGGAAGACUCUGAAUGAGGAGUGUAUUUGGGUGCGGACGUGUAUCUUUCGGUGAAAGCCAAAGAACGACAGUGUAUUGUAUGACUGUGUGUCACACGUUCAUAUGCAUUUCAUUUAAUUGUUGAAUAUUGUGGAAUUGUGUAUAAUAUUAGAAAUUAAAUUAUGUGGCUUGAUCGAUACUGUUGAGAUGCUUUUUUUGUGUUCUUUGGAACUUAAUAAUCCCCAUUAACCCCUCGGGUGUUAGGCACCCUAUUAAGCAAUGUGGAAUGCUUACCUCUUCCUUUUUUUUUUUUUUACAUUUUUUUAGAUGCAAAUAUCACUCUUGAGGAUCCACAAGUGGGGGCAGGGAGGACUUCAGGAUCCCCCUGGAGGUUUUAGAGCGGACUAGUGGAGAGGGGUGUAUUUGUUGUGUUUGUUGUAUUAGAAUUUGUUUUAGUAAAUUGUGAACUAUGGAUUUGUAGUGAGAUCUUAUUUUGAUUAAAUUGUUUAAGUGUAAACUUUUAUUGUUGGACUGUAAUGAUAAUUAUUAUAUCUUGUUUCUUUUGAGUAGUGAUUGAGAUAUUGUUAGUUGGUGGGAACUCUAGUGUGAUGUAUGUGUAGAAAAAAAAAAUCAGAGCGUUUUGGUUGACUGUCAACUUGGAAUAGGAGAAACCCUUAGGGUCAAACCUUUGACCUAGGGUCAUGGGCCAAAUUUUGGGUUGCUCGGAAUUUGGGUCGUGACAUAUGAAUUGGCUCUCCUUGUCCAUGGCCACACUAAAAAUACUUGCAUGGAAAAUGAAACAAUUGUAGGUGGUAAGGAUUGUGAGUUCAACAUCUAUUGCAGACUAGGAAGUGAUUAGAGACUCAAUGGCAAACGAAAGGUUUAAAAAACCAUAUGACCCUCAUCUUAGGCAUUCAAACAUAACUCAUUCUCGAAAACCAACAAAACAACCCGACUUGAUGACUUAACUAGAAGGGAAUACAAACAUAGCAACUAGAAAAACAAAAAAACUACAACUAUUGAGGGUGAAGAAAGGCUGCAUGACCAAGCACAUCCACGUCAGAAAAUGUUGGGUUAGAUUUGCUUGAUACUUUGGUUGGAUGCAAGUGGAACAUUACAUAACAUGGGGUGCACGAAGUAGGUCUACUGAUUCUCAAAGAUGGGAUUGUUGGAAAAGGAAAGUCCUUCUCUUUAAUAGGAGCUCUUCAUAUGAAAACUCCACAGAUUUGUUUGUAGUUAUACUUAUAGGCUCUAACAAAGCAACAUCAACAAGAGCAAUUGGAUCUGAAGACUUUGGAAAUUCAAAAACCGUGUUGACCAUCCUAAGAAGGGGCAACAAUAGACGCGUUGUUUAGGUCUCAAUUGUUUCGCCCAUGGCAUUGAUGUUGUCUUUAUCAUACAUCAUAUCUUCGUUUAAACACACCAACCAUCACACCCUUCCUCACUAUUGGUAGUUGAACCUCAUCCAUAAAAAUAAUCACUUAAAACAUGUUACAUGUAGUUCAAUAUGCUUCGUAGUUUACUUACAUUCUGCUUGCUUAACAUACAUAUGUAAAAAAUGCCUUACACUUUCUUUCAAGCAAAACUUGGUCAAAGGCUCUAAUAGGGAGUUUAAGAUAUAAAAGUCAUUAGUAGCAUCUGGUGGACAAACAUACUUUAAAGUAGAGGUGUCCAAUGGGUCGUGCCACCCAUUUUGGCCUGUGGCUGGGUAUGUCGAAAGGUUAGGCUAAGCCAACACCACAUAGUUGGUCAUGCUAGGCCUAAUGAAACGGUCCAUUGUGCCAUCACACCGACCUGUCG
rnacentral:lncRNA from 1 species